UGGCCACUUCCCUGCAGGUACUUCUCUCUCUCUCUCUCUCUCUCUCUCUCUCUCUCUCUCUCUCCACUGCCGAUUUCUUGUGGGAUUUGGGGAUUUCUCCUACGUUUUGUGCAAUUUUGGGUCGCUGCCGAGUUUACCCACAUUAGCCAUCAAUACCUACCCGUUGUUGGCCCUGCGAUUUUGUUGUUUCCGUGAACAAACCUCUCUCACAUUUGUAAUGCUCUGUCGUUUUCCCCUCCUUUUCUCUUUAAUUUUUCAGAUUUCUCUUUUAUCUUCGUUCGAUGGUUUUCUUGUAAGGCACAACUUUUAAAUGCGUUAUUGCCGCUAGAGUAAGACGCAGAAAAUUCUUGGUACUCUGAUUUGCAUUUUUUUUGGUGUCACAGGGUAGCCCAUACGUUCUUAAGUAGCCUUGUCGCUCGCUCGAAUUCGACUAACCACUACACAAUUUUUAGUUGCUGCUAAAGUUUAGUGAUGAGUGACAGAAGAUGGAAAGAGGCAUUAAAGGAGCAGCAUGGGUGAGGCAGAGGUGACAUCUAUCUGCCUGUUGGUUCUAUGUAAUUUCUUAGUAAGUUAAUUUUUAUUUAUAGUUAAUUGAUGCCUUCCUGGUAUGCAAUGAGAAGGACAUUGCAAAACACCUCAGGGUAAGAUGUUUAAUAUCUCAUGGUUGAAGCGAAGUUGUGGAUGUUCCAAGUAUGGUAGGCUAUGAUUGUAAGAAACAUUAGUUGCUUCCCUAUUGUAGUACUUAAUUGCCUUCCAUUAAUGCACCAUGCCAGUGUAUAGAUUACUAUAGUACUCUGAAACUGCUCAUUUGGAUUUAUGAAUGACUAUUCUACUAAACCAAUUUGUCUCAGUUGCCACUUGGACUUUCUUGUUGUGCUUAAUUUGUAGAACGCAUGGUGAAACUUAACAUGCUCAUUUGGAUCAUCUCAUUAAAUUAUGUUUUCAGUUUCUAAACAUAUAUAUGUACUCCCUUUGUGUUGGAUCAGGUUUACAUAUCCAAUGUUGCAUUUAGUUUAACAAAGCUAGUUUAAUAUAUGUUACAGGAAAUAUGGAAACAAAACUCUUUGUACUAAUGAAAGAAUUCAAAUCGAUAAGAAGGCUUGUAGAAGCAAGGUCUGUACUAGCAUACUAGCAUGAUGAAGAAACUCAAUGGCACUUAUUAAUUAUUAUAAGAACCAUCUAUCUAAUCAUGUACUCUAAAUUCAUUUCAAUUGUGCAAUUUGUCUCCAUACAGGUGCAGUUUUGACCCAAGCAGGUGCAAUGUAAGCAUACACACAUGCAUCCAUCUAUUAAUAUAUAAAUUGGAGACAUGGAUAUUAUUGCAAGGUUAACAUUAUAACACAUUAUAAAUCUGUACAGAUAUAUGUAUAUAUAUAUUUACACCAAAUAUAUGCAUGCUGGAUUUCUUAUAUGUACAUCCAUCUAUUAAUAUAUCUAAAUAUAUAUGUCAUGACUUGAUCAGCAUGCACAUUUGGUUGUGUAGUGUUUAGAAAUUAUAUUGGUUUUGACUUCAAUGCCUCCUGCUUUAAUACUUUAAGAUCGUAAACUUAUCUAUAUAUAUAUAGACACACACAUACUGCUGUUAAUUUCCAGAGUAGUUAAAGCCUUGAAAAGUUGAGGAUGUUCAGCUGUUAUUGGUGGCCGUAUUGACUCUUGGUCGGUUUAGACUUUAGACAGAAAUUAAUCAGCUAUCUUGAGGUUGAUGCACCAUAUACAACACAUUAACAAAGAAGGCAAAAUUCUCCAUGCAUUCAUGCAUGUGGGUAUUAGAUUAUUUUAAUUCUUGGGUGAUAUUUUCUUGCUGAAACAGAGCCUUUUUCUUGUAGAAUAAAUGCCCCUUUGUUUUACCUUCUAAUCUGUAAGUAAGUGAUUUCUCUAUCCUUCAAGGGCAAAACUAGCUAUCAAGUGAUCCUUAGUUCUCCAAACUUUUUGGUUUCAACAAAGUUAUCAAAAGCUGUCAAACAUCUAUUUUGGUGAAAUUUUCCAGAUUUGCCCUAACAAUCUGGUUCCCUUCAAUUCCUAACACUUUCCUAUAAUCUAUACAUUCUUUAUCCAUGACUUUCACCUAGUGGUAGUUCUUCCCCCUCUUUAUCUGCACAACAAUUAGCGUCACACUAGCCAUCAUAAAAUACGGAUCAUUCGGCUUCACAAGUUUCAUUUUAGCACAAUGUAUGCUCAAUGAUUUUCUGAACUAAUUUUGUUAUAUAACUCCUUAUAAUUUCUUGAUGUUUAGAAAAAAGAAGAAUCCACAUGUGUCACCCUUCGGCAAUUAGGCAUUCUUGCUUGUUAUCGUGGAGAAAGAAAACUUAUGAGCACCAUUAUUUAUUUAACUCAUUGUUGUCGUGGAAUGGGGUCCUCAAAUCUGUAUCAACUUUAAUUGGUGCGAGCCCAGAGGCUGAAAUUGCAUUAUAUACCCUAUGUUUCUGUUGGGUCCGUAUCUCGUUAAAUGUUAAUAUCAAGUGCUAUCAUCUUGGAGACACAAUUGGAUCUGCA